rnacentral:rRNA from 1 species
AGACCCGAAACCCGGUGAUCUAGCCAUGGGCAGGUUGAAGGUUGGGUAACACUAACUGGAGGACCGAACCGACUAAUGUUGAAAAAUUAGCGGAUGACUUGUGGCUGGGGGUGAAAGGCCAAUCAAACCGGGAGAUAGCUGGUUCUCCCCGAAAGCUAUUUAGGUAGCGCCUCGUGAAUUCAUCUCCGGGGGUAGAGCACUGUUUCGGCAAGGGGGUCAUCCCGACUUACCAACCCGAUGCAAACUGCGAAUACCGGAGAAUGUUAUCACGGGAGACACACGGCGGGUGCUAACGUCCGUCGUGAAGAGGGAAACAACCCAGACCGCCAGCUAAGGUCCCAAAGUCAUGGUUAAGUGGGAAACGAUGUGGGAAGGCCCAGACAGCCAGGAUGUUGGCUUAGAAGCAGCCAUCAUUUAAAGAAAGCGUAAUAGCUCACUGGUCGAGUCGGCCUGCGCGGAAGAUGUAACGGGGCUAAACCAUGCACCGAAGCUGCGGCAGCGACACUGUGUGUUGUUGGGUAGGGGAGCGUUCUGUAAGCCUGUGAAGGUGUGCUGUGAGGCAUGCUGGAGGUAUCAGAAGUGCGAAUGCUGACAUAAGUAACGAUAAAGCGGGUGAAAAGCCCGCUCGCCGGAAGACCAAGGGUUCCUGUCCAACGUUAAUCGGGGCAGGGUGAGUCGACCCCUAAGGCGAGGCCGAAAGGCGUAGUCGAUGGGAAACAGGUUAAUAUUCCUGUACUUGGUGUUACUGCGAAGGGGGGACGG